AUUGAACGCUGGCGGCAGGCCUAACACAUGCAAGUCGAGCGAGCGGGGGAGGGGUGAGUAAUGUCUGGGAAACUGUCUGAUGGAGGGGGAUAACUACUCGAAACGGUAUCUAAUAUCGCAUACCACAAGAUGUGUCCAGGUGGGAUUAGCUAGGAGGUGGGGUAACGGCUCACCUAGGCGACGAUCCCUAGCUGGUCUGAGAGGAUGACCAGCCACACUGGAACUGAGACACGGUCCAGACUCCUACGGGAGGCAGCAGUGGGGAAUAUUGCACAAUGGGCGCAAGCCUGAUGCAGCCAUGCCGCGUGUGUGAAGAAGGCCUUCGGGUUGUAAAGCACUUUCAGCGGGGAGGCGUUACCCGCAGAAGAAGCACCGGCUAACUCCGUGCCAGCCGCCGCGGUAAUUC
rnacentral:rRNA from 1 species